AGGACAGUUUGCAGUAGCUCUAGCCCUAAGACAGACACAUGUGCAGGACACAGCCACGGUAAAGGCUGCAGAACUUGCCAGCCAGUGGGUAGAUGAGGCUGAACCAAUACAUACUGGGUCUGCAUGUGGAAGAAUGAGGCUUGCAGCCAACGGCCGUCCACAUCUCUGAUGAGGAUCAGCACCUCAACUGUCAACUGAUGAAUCUGAGCUCAUUUGCUGAAGGGAUAAACCAACCAGUGAAUCUCAACUCCAUCCUUCUACCACUCGGGCCUUAACUCUAGUGCCAGACAAGAGAAAGGGAAAAAUUCUUGGAACCUCUAGAGCUAGCCACACUUGAAAAAGAGAAGAGCUAGAUGUCUUUUGAACCAUCCUGUCUGCUUGACCAGUAGGACUGCUCUGUAUCAGUGCCUAAGUCCCUCCCUAUGGGGUCUCCUUCUUGUCUUAGAGUCAGUUGAGGGGAGCCCCCAAUGCCUUUCUCCCUGUUGCUCAUGAAGGACACUACUGGUUGACCACAGCUCUUUCCCAUGCUGCUCUGGACAGCAGUCACAUCUUUGCCAUUAUGGAACUAGCUAGCAAUCAUGCCUCAUGCUGUCACCUGUAAGAAGGGAGAGUAUUUACUCCCAUAGCCCAUGAGCAGUGUCUACAGCUGUGGACUGUCCAGAGACUAGAUAACCAGUGAUUCAGAAGCCUGGCUGCAGAUCUGGUCGCUUGAAUAAAAAUGCCCCACGUGCCUAGAGGGGGUGGCACUAUUAGGAGGUGUGACCUUAUUGGGAUAGGUGUGGCCUUGCUGGAGGAACUUUGUCCUUGUGGGGACAAGCUUUGAUAUCUCAGAAGCUCAAGUCAGUUCACUUCCACUGCCUGUGGAUCAAGAUGUAGAACUCUCAGCUCCAUCUUCAGCACCAUGGCCGGACUGCUUCAUACUGCCGCGUUUCCCACC
rnacentral:lncRNA from 7 species